rnacentral:rRNA from 1 species
GACGAACGCUGGCGGCGUGCUUAACACAUGCAAGUCGAACGGAAAGGCCCUGCUUUUGUGGGGUGCUCGAGUGGCGAACGGGUGAGUAACACGUGAGUAACCUGCCCUUGACUUUGGGAUAACUUCAGGAAACUGGGGCUAAUACCGGAUAUGAGCUCCUGCUGCAUGGUGGGGGUUGGAAAGUUUCGGCGGUUGGGUCUGGAAUCGCGGCUUAUUAGCCUGUUGGUGGGGUAGUGGCUUACCCAGGCUUUGAAGGGUAGCCGGCCUGAGAGGGUGACCGGCCACAGUGGGACUGAGAUACGGCCCAGACUCCUACGGGAGGCAGGAGUGGGGAAUAGUGCACAAUGGGCGGAAGCAGGAUGCAGCAACGCCGCGUGCGGGAUGACGGCCUUCGGGUUGUAAACCGCUUUCGCGUGUGACGAAGCGUGAGUGACGGUAAUGGGUAAAGAAGCACCGGCUAACUACGU